rnacentral:rRNA from 1 species
AUUGAACGCUAACGGCAUGCUUAACACAUGCAAGUCGAACGGCAGCACAGCAGUAGCAAUACUGUGGGUGGCGAGUGGCGGACGGGUGAGUAAUGCAUAGGAAUCUGCCUUGUAGUGGGGGAUAACCCGGGGAAACUCGGGCUGAUACCGCAUAAUCUUUACGAAGCAAAGCGGGGGACCGUAAGGCCUAGCGCCAGAAGAUGAGCCUAUGGCGGAUUAGCUAGUUGGUGGGGUAAAGGCCUACCAAGGCGACGAUCCGUAGCUGGGCGGAGAGGAUGAUCAGCCACACUGGGACUGAGACACGGCCCAGACUCCUACGGGAGGCAGCAGUGGGGAAUAUUGGACAAUGGGCGCAAGCCUGAUCCAGCAAUGCCGUGUGUGUGAAGAAGGCCUUCGGGUUGUAAAGCACUUUUAGUUGGGAAGAAAAGCUUAUGGUUAAUAACCAUGAGUGCUGACGUUACCAGCAGAAAAAGCACUGGCUAACUCUGUGCCAGCCGCCGCCGUAA